rnacentral:rRNA from 1 species
GGAUUAGAUACCCUGGUAGUCCACGCCGUAAACGAUGUGUGCUAAUUGUCGGGCUCUUAGAGUUCGGUGAUGGAGCGAAAGUAUUAAGCACACCGCCUGGGGAGUACGGCCGCAAGGUUAAAACUCAAAGGAAUUGACGGGGACCCGCACAAGCGGUGGAGCAUGUUGUUUAAUUCGAAGCAACGCGAAGAACCUUACCACCCCUUGACAUCCUCCUUGGGACUUUCAGAGAUGAUUGUCUUCGGUUCGGCCGGGGGAGUGACAGGUGCUGCAUGGCUGUCGUCAGCUCGUGCCG